GAUCAUGGCUCAGGAUGAACGCUGGCGGCGUGCUUAACACAUGCAAGUCGAGCGAAGCGCUUUGGAAAGAUUCUUCGGAUGAUUUCCUUUGUGACUGAGCGGCGGACGGGUGAAGGUAACGCGUGGGUAACCUGCCUCAUACAGGGGGAUAACAGUUAGAAAUGACUGCUAAUACCGCAUAAGCCCACAGCUCGGCAUCGAGCAGAGGGAAAAAGGAGCAAUCCGCUUUGAGA
rnacentral:rRNA from 1 species